rnacentral:misc_RNA from 1 species
GAUGAAGAACGCAGCAAAAUGCGAUAAGUAAUGUGAAUUGCAGAAUUCAGUGAAUCAUCGAAUCUUUGAACGCACAUUGCGCCCGCUGGUAUUCCGGCGGGCAUGCCUGUUCGAGCGUCAUUUCAACCCUCAAGCCCCCGGGUUUGGUGUUGGGGAUCGGCUCUGCCCUUCUGGGCGGUGCCGCCCCCGAAAUACAUUGGCGGUCUCGCUGCAGCCUCCAUUGCGUAGUAGCUAACACCUCGCAACUGGAACGCGGCGCGGCCAUGCCGUAAAACCCCAACUUCUGAAUGUUGACCUCGGAUCAGGUAGGGAUACCCGCUGAACUUAAGCAUAUCAAUAAGCGGAGGA